CGGCCAAAGUCCCUUUUACAUCAGCAAAACUGGAAUUAAAUAAUAGCUGCCUUUGGCUGGUCUUUCAGGAAAGGAGCACCAUAUUACAGGCGAUUUCAUCAAAUGGUUUUACGGUUGACUGACGCUGGCAUUAUACAACACUGGACUGAUGACGUGAUAGCCAGGCGCGUGAAGGAGAACAGGGCAGCUGCUGCACUGGACCCUAUUGCAACCCUGAGUAACGAAAAAGAGAUGGUCCUAGGGAUGCAGCACAUGCAAGGCGCCUUCUACCUCUUGUUUCUGGGGUGCGGCCUCGUCAUCCUCAUCCUGCUGAUGGAGUAUAUCGUCCAGUAUCAUCCUCGUCUCAACAAAACUUUCGCGAUUACCACCAGACCUGAGGAAUGAUGAUACUAGGAAUAUAAAAAAUCGAAUACAGCAAAAUUCAAAUAUUAGACAAAAGGGCUAACUAUCCUGUGAAGUAAAUAUUUUGAUCUAUUUGAGAAUGCUAACAAUGGUAAAUAAUAUAUGUUCACCAGUUAUUUAUACCAUAUGAUCUGUACAAGACCAACCAAAUAGAAAAUACUGAAAAUUUGACUGUUAUGUUAGUGGAGGUUAUACUAAUUACCCUUGUGGAUACUCGCAUCUAUAUUGGAUAGAAUUUAUAAGAAAAUCCAAAAGACUUUGCAGGGUUUUAAGAUUUUUUUUCACAGUUUCAGAAAAAUGGCAAAAACUAACCGCUAACUAUACGAGUUUCCCCCGUCACAGGCUGGAGUGAAAGGGGAGAGAGGUCGGGGAAACACAGUGGUUCCUUCGUUUUGUUUAAGCCUUUUUUUUUCAUUUUCUUUCGAACUCUUCCUUACUUUUCCAGGCGAUACACAUCACAAUUUUUGAAUGAGGAAGCUCAAAUUUAGACCCAAUAGUGACCAAGUGUUUAGGCUUUUAUUUCUUAUUGUCUUUUUUUCAGAUUUUUAUUAAAUGUUUGUUUAUGGCAUGGCAUAACAGGAUACUCCUUAAUUAAUAACGUUUUGCUACACAGAAAAAGCCCUAAUUGAUAGAUUAUAAGUUUACUAAAAACAGUACUUGGGAAAUUAGAAUUCUUCUUGAAUAUGAGUUAUAUGGACCAGGGCCGCAUACUCAAAACACCUCAUCGGUUACGUACAGUAGCAGAGAUACGGUAUCGUAACUUACAGACUCCUUACAGUCCUGUAAAUUUCUCAUACUUAAAAUUUAAUUACAGGUCCGUAAGCAGUCCGUAACUCUAAUGCUUACCCUGUAAAUUCAGUUCUCUUGUCUGAAGGUAGAUGGCAGUGCAAGAGCUAGUUGGCCAAUCGUCGCUCUGUUAACAAAAUCAUCAACCAAUCACAAGAGAAGGAGAAAUCAGCUGAAAUCGACGCACUUGAUAGUUGCUAGACGGACUUCAAGCGUCAUAACUGACGAUGGAAUUAUGUUUGAGUAAUACUUUUCUUUUUUUACUGGGAUCAGCCCACAUGGGCACAGGUCACUGACCCACAUCAGAGCCUGG